UACGAAGGGGGCUAGCGUUGCUCGGAAUGACUGGGCGUAAAGGGCGCGUAGGCGGAUGGCACAGUCAGAUGUGAAAUUCCCGGGCUUAACCUGGGGCUGCAUUUGAUACGUGUGAUCUAGAGUGAGGAAGAGGGUCGUGGAAUUCCCAGUGUAGAGGUGAAAUUCGUAGAUAUCGGUAGGAACACCAGUGGCGAAGGCGGUCUCCUGGGGCAUUCUUGACGCUGAGGCGCGAAAGCUGGGGGAGCAAACGGG
rnacentral:rRNA from 1 species